UCCUAAAAUGACUUUUACCGAUUCUUUUUCAAGUUUCCAGCUCGCCUCUUGUCAUUUUUAGAAAUAAAAACGUUUAUUCAAUUAUUAAUA
ensembl:ncRNA C14B9.15 ncRNA